rnacentral:rRNA from 1 species
CCCUUAGAUGUCCUGGGCUGCACGCGCGCUACACUGAUGUGUCCAGUAAGCACCUAACCUCUUCCGAAAGGAACGGGUAACCUUUGCAAAGCACAUCGUGAUGGGGAUAGAUUAUUGCAAUUAUUAGUCUUGAACGAGGAAUUCCUAGUAAGCACAAGUCAUCAGCUUGUGUUGAUUACGUCCCUGCCCUUUGUACACACCGCCCGUCGCUCCUACCGAUUGAAUGUUCCGGUGAGACCUUGGGAUUUGGUCUUUGAUACUUUAUUGUGUCGUUGACCGAAAAACUUGAGCAAACCUUAACGUUUAGAGGAAGGUGAAGUCGUAACA